rnacentral:rRNA from 1 species
UGGGGAAUUUUGGACAAUGGGGGCAACCCUGAUCCAGCCAUUCCGCGUGAGUGAAGAAGGCCUUCGGGUUGUAAAGCUCUUUCAGCAGGAACGAAACGGUGACCCCUAAUACGGGUUACUAAUGACGGUACCUGAAGAAGAAGCACCGGCUAACUACGUGCCAGCAGCCGCGGUAAUACGUAGGGUGCGAGCGUUAAUCGGAAUUACUGGGCGUAAAGCGUGCGCAGGCGGUUAUGUAAGACAGGUGUGAAAUCCCCGGGCUCAACCUGGGAACUGCGCUUGUGACUGCAUAACUCGAGUGUGGCAGAGGGGGGUGGAAUUCCACGUGUAGCAGUGAAAUGCGUAGAGAUGUGGAGGAACACCGAUGGCGAAGGCAGCCCCCUGGGUCAACACUGACGCUCAUGCACGAAAGCGUGGGGAGCAAACAGGAUUAGAUACCCUGGUAGUCCACGCCCUAAACGAUGCGAACUAGGUGUUGGGGAAGGAGACUUUCUUAGUACCGCAGCUAACGCGUGAAGUUCGCCGCCUGGGGAGUACGGUCGCAAGAUUA